UUAAGGACAAGGGGGAAACCCUAUGUAUUUUCUAGAGGAGUACUUAUGAGAUUGAGUUGCUGCAUGCUUUAUCUGUAUAAAGUUAUAUGCUCAUAUCUGUGUUUUUGUACUGAUUCUUCCAUUAUUUUCUUAAUAGGAUCUGGCUAACUAAAGUUUGGUAGGUGAUUCUCUUGAAUGGAAGGUUUAAUCGAGGAUUGAAUUGACCACAAACUAUAGCAGAUGCAAGGCAUCAAUCGGUUAAGAAGAAAUGCGAAAUGAACCUAAUUGGUUUCUCGUUGAUGUCACUGACAAUGACGAGUUUGCUCUAUUUCUGACCUGCAGGCAAAUGACAAUGACGAGUUUGCUCUAUUUCUGACAAUGCCAAAUGAAACUAUGGCAGAUGACACUGCAGUUGACUUCCCAUACACUGUUGUGAACUGCAGUAGACUUAUGGCACCACGGUUCACCUUGGAUAUAUUGUUGGAAUUUGUUGCCCAACACUUGUUACCAGGCAAGUAAUUCGUUAUUUUUAAAUCAUCAUGCUCCAUUCUCCAGUCCAAAUUCAAUUAAAGCAAAUAAAUUAGAUUAUCUUUAAUGCUGAUCAAGAAAAAUGUGCAUUGUAGAUGUCUGUCUACCAGGAUUGCUUCAUGACCAGACUGCAUCAUACGGUUUAGACAAGAUCUGGCAGGGGUGGUCUCCAUCAUCUUUAGUGGCAGCAUUCAAGCCUUGAUCUAGGUGCUAGCCAACAUAAUUAGUUCAUGUUUUGUAUGGAUAAGAUUGGAGCUCUUCUAUUGCUUCUUCUUAAUACAGGCUAAAUCACUGAUUAUCUUCAUUCUAUAUCUAAUCAUGGGUUCUGUCU
rnacentral:lncRNA from 1 species